rnacentral:rRNA from 1 species
UCGAACGCGAGAGGGGCUUCGGCCCUGAUUGAGUGGCGAACGGGUGAGUAACGCGUGGGUGACCUACCUUCGAGUGGGGGAUAACGUCCCGAAAGGGACGCUAAUACCGCAUAACAUCCUGCUUUUGAAUGGGUGGAGAUCAAAGCCGGGGAUCGCAAGACCUGGCGCUUGAUGAGGGGCCCGCGUCUGAUUAGCUAGUUGGUGAGGUAAUGGCCCACCAAGGCAACGAUCAGUAUCCGGCCUGAGAGGGCGGACGGACACACUGGGACUGAGACACGGCCCAGACUCCUACGGGAGGCAGCAGUGGGGAAUUGUUCGCAAUGGGCGCAAGCCUGACGACGCAACGCCGCGUGGAGGAUGAAGGUCUUCGGAUUGUAAACUCCUGUUGCCCGGGACGAAUAGCUCCGACCUAACACGUCGGAGUGUGACGGUACCGGGUGAGGAAGCCCCGGCUAACUCUGUGCCAGCAGCCGCGGUAAUACAGAGGGGGCAAGCGUUGUUCGGAAUUACUGGGCGUAAAGGGCGCGUAGGCGGCCUGCUAAGUCGAACGUGAAAUCCCCGGGCUCAACCCGGGAACUGCGUCCGAUACUGGCUGGCUUGAAUCCGGGAGAGGGAUGCGGAAUUCCAGGUGUAGCGGUGAAAUGCGUAGAUAUCUGGAGGAACACGGGUGGCGAAGGCGGCAUCCUGGACCGGUAUUGACGCUGAUGCGCGAAAGCCAGGGGAGCAAACGGGAUUAGAUACCCCGGUAGUCCUGGCC